ensembl:lncRNA
GCUUUUCUGAUUCCCCUCCCAUAGAUUUAGCUCAGCUCCUCCAUGUCCUCCCUGUAUUUUGUUCACACUCCUCUAACCUGUAACUCCUUAUGGCUCUUAUUGCUUUUUUUUGUUUGUUUGGGAUGAGCACUUUCAUUCAUUUAUUUAUUUGGUUAACACUGUCAGUUAAUACAGUUUAAGUGAGGCAAACCACUCUUCCUGCCUGGGGUGGCAGGGGAGAUGACUGGUCCAUUGGCAAUACCAUGUCCUUGACCAGCGAUUGGUUCAGAAAAGGAUACACAUAAUAACCCUGAUGAGUCAAGUCUGAUAUGUUUGCUGGAACGAUUAGAAACGGGAUGUUCCCCUUUCCAUGGUGUUGCCAGGGUGGUGGAAUGGAAGUCUGGAGUGGUUGGAGCUGAUUUUGCCACCAAAGAACAAAAAUAAAAACCAACAUUAAAAAAAAGCAUAAUUUGUGAUGGAGAGAGACAGAAUUCAGUUGGAUGUUUGAAUAUCUGAAUCUAGAAAUGCCCAAGACAAUGGAACUUUUCAAAGGUCCUACUUUCAGAAAAUAUAAAGAAAGCAAGGAAGGCAUGAGGAACAAAUGGAAAGGUAAGAUAUGGAAGUCAAGUUUGCUUUAGAUUAAUUGGGAUAGGAGAGAUUUUUUUUUAGACUUUACCUUUAAUUGUAGUUAUUUUUGUCCUGUGGUUUGUCGAGUUUUCAAAACUCAUUAGUGUGCCAUAAGGAGCCCUCAUGGCCUGACUGGAGCAUUUUUCUUCAGUUUCGUUUCUUUCUUCAGAACACAAUUCAUGCCAGACACACCAAUAUGAUCUCAAUACUAUUUCAUAAAAAAUCUCCAAAUCAACUAAAAUAGCUCUAGUUCAUUCCUCUUGAUUGUUACAUAAUAUUCCAUAAUGAGAAUGUAUCAUAAUUUAUUCAACCAUUCCCUUGUAAAUGGAUGCUUACAUUGGUUCCAGUUUUUAUCACCACAAACAAAACUGUAAGAAGCAACCUUUUACACAUAUCAUCACAUGUUCGUGGUUCUAAGACAAUUCUAGGAGUGGAGUUUCUGGGCAAAAAGAUAUAGAUUUCUAAUUUUAAUAUGUGUUGUUCAACUUACUUUAGAAAGAAACUAUGACAUUUCAUAUUUACACCAGCAAUUUAAUAAAGUAUAAUUUUCCUCAUAUUAUCAUAAAAAAGGUGUAUUAGCCCAUUUUCACACUGCUAUAAAGAUUUACUUGAGAACAAGUAAUUUAUAAAGGAAAGAGAUAUUAUUGACUCAUAGUUCCACCAGGCUCUGGAGGCCUCAGGAAAUGUGCAAUCAUAGUGGAAGGCAACGGAGAAGCAAGCACCUUCUUCAAAAAGUGGCUGGAGACACAGAGAGUAAAGGAGGAAGUGCCAUUUUUAAACCUUCAGAUCUUGGGCAGACUGACUCAUCAUCAUGAGAACAACAUGGGGGGCACUUCCCCCAUGAUCCAAUCACCUCCCACCAGAUCCCUCCCUUGACACAUGGAGAUUACAAUUCAAGAUGAGGUUUGGUUAGGGACACAGAGCCAAACCAUAUUAUUCUGCCCCUGGCCCUCCCAAAUCUCAUGUUCUUUUUACAUUUCAAAACCAAUCAUGACUUCCUAACAGUCUUCUAAAGUUUUACUUCAUUCCAGCAUCAACUCAAAAGCCCAAGUCCAAAGUCUCAUCUGAGACAAGGCAAGUCCCUUCUGCCUUUAAGCCCAUAAAAUAAAAAAGUUACUUACCUCCAAGAUACAAUGGGGGUACAGGCAUUGGAUAAAUGUUACUGUUCCAACUAGGAAAAAUUGGUCAAAAUGAAGGAGCCACAGGCCCCAUGCAAGUUUGAAACCCAGGAGGGCACUUACUAAAUCUUAAAGCUCCAAAAUGAUCUUCUCUGACCCCAUGUUUCACAUCCAGGGCAUGCUAAUGCAAGAAAUGCAUUCUCUUGACUUUUGGCAGCUCCACACCUGUGGUUCUGGAGGGUACAGG